GACGAACGCUGGCGGCGUGCCUAAUACAUGCAAGUCGAACGCAGUGGGGACGGGUGAGUAACACGUGGGUAACCUCCCAUCACAGGGGUUAACACUUUGAAACAGGUGCUAAACCGAUACUGUUUGUUGGCCCCGCGGUUCAGUAGCUAGUUGGUGAGGUAACGGCUCACCAAGGCCACGAGGCAUAGCGGACCUGAGAGGGUGAUCGGCCACACUGGGACUGAUACACGGCCAAGAAUCCUCAGGGAGGCAGCAGUAGGGAAUGUGCGGCAAUGGACGAAAGUCUGACCGAGCAACGCCGCGUGAGUGAAGAAGGUUUUCGGAUCGUAAAACUCUGUUGUUAGAGAAGCGGUAUGUAACGAGAAAGCCACGGCUAACUACGUGCCAGCAGACGCGGUAAAAG
rnacentral:rRNA from 1 species